rnacentral:rRNA from 1 species
GUGUCAGCAGCCGCGGUAAAACGUAGGUGGCAAGCGUUAUCCGGAUUCACUGGGCGUAAAGCGAGUGCAGGUGGCUUCGUAAGUUGGAUGUGAAAUUUCCCGGCUUAACCGGGAAGGGUCAUUCAAUACUGUGGGGCUUGAGGGCAAAAGAGGGGGGUGGAAUUGCCGGUGUAGUGGUGAAAUGCGUAGAUAUCGGCAGGAACACCUGUGGCGAAAGCGGCCCCCUGGUUUGCUCCUGACACUCAGACUCGAAAGCUAGGGUAGCGAACGGGAUUAGAAACCCUCGUAGUCC